AUGAACGCUAGCUACAGGCUUAACACAUGCAAGUCGAGGGGCAGCAUGGUCUUAGCUUGCUAAGGCCGAUGGCGACCGGCGCACGGGUGAGUAACACGUAUCCAACCUGCCGUCUACUCUUGGACAGCCUUCUGAAAGGAAGAUUAAUACUAGAUGGCAUCAUGAGUCCGCAUGUUCACAUGAUUAAAGGUAUUCCGGUAGACGAUGGGGAUGCGUUCCAUUAGAUAGUAGGCGGGGUAACGGCCCACCUAGUCUUCGAUGGAUAGGGGUUCUGAGAGGAAGGUCCCCCACAUUGGAACUGAGACACGGUCCAAACUCCUACGGGAGGCAGCAGUGAGGAAUAUUGGUCAAUGGGCGAGAGCCUGAACCAGCCAAGUAGCGUGAAGGAUGACUGCCCUAUGGGUUGUAAACUUCUUUUAUAAAGGAAUAAAGUCGGGUAUGGAUACCCGUUUGCAUGUACUUUAUGAAUAAGGAUCGGCUAACUCCGUGCCAGCAGCCGCGGUAAUACGGAGGAUCCGAGCGUUAUCCGGAUUUAUUGGGUUUAAAGGGAGCGUAGAUGGAUGUUUAAGUCAGUUGUGAAAGUUUGCGGCUCAACCGUAAAAUUGCAGUUGAUACUGGAUAUCUUGAGUGCAGUUGAGGCAGGCGGAAUUCGUGGUGUAGCGGUGAAAUGCUUAGAUAUCACGAAGAACUCCGAUUGCGAAGGCAGCCUGCUAAGCUGCAACUGACAUUGAGGCUCGAAAGUGUGGGUAUCAAACAGGAUUAGAUACCCUGGUAGUCCACACGGUAAACGAUGAAUACUCGCUGUUUGCGAUAUACAGCAAGCGGCCAAGCGAAAGCGUUAAGUAUUCCACCUGGGGAGUACGCCGGCAACGGUGAAACUCAAAGGAAUUGACGGGGGCCCGCACAAGCGGAGGAACAUGUGGUUUAAUUCGGUGAUACGCGAGGAACCUUACCCGGGCUUAAAUUGCAGAUGAAUUACGGUGAAAGCCGUAAGCCGCAAGGCAUCUGUGAAGGUGCUGCAUGGUUGUCGUCAGCUCGUGCCGUGAGGUGUCGGCUUAAGUGCCAUAACGAGCGCAACCCUUGUUGUCAGUUACUAACAGGUUCCGCUGAGGACUCUGACAAGACUGCCAUCGUAAGAUGUGAGGAAGGUGGGGAUGACGUCAAAUCAGCACGGCCCUUACGUCCGGGGCUACACACGUGUUACAAUGGGGGGUACAGAGGGCCGCUACCACGCGAGUGGAUGCCAAUCCCCAAAACCUCUCUCAGUUCGGACUGGAGUCUGCAACCCGACUCCACGAAGCUGGAUUCGCUAGUAAUCGCGCAUCAGCCACGGCGCGGUGAAUACGUUCCCGGGCCUUGUACACACCGCCCGUCAAGCCAUGGGAGCCGGGGGUACCUGAAGUGCGUAACCGCGAGGAGCGCCCUAGGGUAAAACUGGUGACUGGGGCU
rnacentral:rRNA from 1 species